UGGGGUCAACUGACCCCCCUCCUCAUAUGCUGCCUCCGCCCCUGUUCACGCCUCUUCCCUUGCUGAUUCCGCCAUCGCCUCCUCCUCCUCAAUUCCAGCCGCGACGUCAGAGAAAUGCAAGAGGUCGUCUGUCAUGUGUUGGAUCACUUGAGAGAGGAAGGUCCACAUACUACGAAGAGAAGGUUCGAGACCGUUAAAGUUUUGCGUCUUUUAGCGAAUUUGAUGAUAACAAGAAUUUGUUGCACGAGAUCACUAGACUUUCACCUAAGGCGAAGAUAAGCUCUUUAUUAGUUCUCUUGACAUAUUGCAUUACGAGAAACAACAAAAAAAUGUAUGGCCUAAAUCACCAGGCAUCUCCUUCUGCUAUAUGAACCUAAUUUACUUAGAAUUCUGCUGAUAAUUAGUAAGAAGUAUACUUGAUAGAGUAAUAUCAAUAUUCAAUGUUUUGUAUGUUUGUGUUUUGUCUAGGAUUAGUCUCUUCAGUUUGUUCAAAGUGCUUCUCUUCAGAUUGAUCAUAUAAUUUGGAAGCUUAAUUAAAUCUAUUAUAUUGGCUCUGUGUUUGAUUAUCUUUUCUCUAGGCACUUCUCUCCCGAGAUGUUCAGUCCAACAUUGCUCCAGCAAGUAGUGAACGUUACGGCAUAACAAGUCAACAAUACGAGGUACUGAAGCUGCAACGUGCUCUCAAGCAAGACCCCAUGGUGCAGCCUUCAUAGCACUGGGGUUGAUGUCUUAUAUGCCAUGCCAUGGAUCUCACCUUUCUUAAGAGCUGCGUUGCUUUUCCUAACUUUCUUCCUUAUCUGCGAUCUAGCUCUUGCUCAGUUUCCUCCCUCUUCAAUCCAAGGGACAAGCAACUGGGUUGGUCGGUUUCAUUUGACUGAAUCUUGCAGCAAUGAACAUGGUUUCUCACACUCAAAUUACCAAAAGAAGAAGAAGGUUCUCUCUCAAAUAUACACUGCAUAGGACAGAAAUUGAUCGGGUCUUCUUUUGGAAAUCUGGAAUACAUGGAUGGGGCCUUUCUGCCAGCAGAAUUAUCUAUGAAUGUGGCCAUGUGGGUUUUGUCUGUUUUUUUAUAGAGAGGGAAUGAUGAUAGACAAUAUUUUUUUUUUCAGAUUCUUAAAUACAGACUGGAAUAGGUGAGACGUACCAUUGCAGACCUGAGAGAAGGGAAAAUGCUAUAUGACUGUUCAAGAUCAGUGAGAAAGUAGUUGUUGAUGCUACAAAUAAAGGGAAUAUAGCUCGGCUUAUCAACCAUUAGUAAGCUGUUCUAUGACAUGAUGUAAAUUUUCAAAGUUAGGAGUGACUGCGCUAAGACCCUUUUAGGAGAUUUUGUUACACUGCAAUAACUCAGUGAGACGUUUUUACUUUUACUCCCUCACAAGGUAACACUCAGAAGGCAUCUUACUUUGUUCCAUGUAGUAUUUCUUUUCAUUAGAAUAUAUGCUUGGUUUCAUCACUCCUUCCAAGUAUAAGAUGCAGCGGUUUGUGACGUGCAAUAAUGGUAAACACACACAUGCGUUGUGUGCCGAAUAUUUAAUAAACUUUAGAGACCGGUUUUCUGUAAGCUGGAAUUGGUCAAAGCCAUGUAAACAAAAUUAUAAUGUUCAUCUAACGUUGUGUGCCGAAAAUUUAACUAUGUUUUAUAUGUUGAUGUCAUAGCCAGAUAAAAUCAAUAAAUAAACACAAGAAGUCAUCAGUUUUCAUGUGAAAAUCAGUACACAGUAUAGAUUUCAGAAUAUUUGUACAAUGUGAUUGGUUAGAUAUCAGAGUAAUAAGGUGGAAAAUAUGGUGAAAAUGAGAGGGAUGAAAAUAAAUAAAUUUGAAAAAAAAAUUCAUUUCAUUAAAUUUGAGUUAAGAUAUACCCUGUUUAUUGUUUUCUCACUAUUUAAGUUAUAAUAAUUUUUUAUUUGAUUGGGUGAAAUUAGAGUAAAUAAGUUAAAAAUAAAUUGUCACCUACUUUAAUUUACUCUAGCUCUAAUCCCACGUACCCGUAAUGUAAUAUACGAAAAUCUAUUUAUAACUGACCACAUCAAAAAAUAAUUUGCUUAUAUUAUUAGGUAACUAUCGUAUUCCAAAAUCAAUACGUGAAAGUACAUCAAUACAAUACUAAAAGGGGAAUAAGGGCUCCACUCAUGCUUGCACAUCCUCAAAAAUAAUCAGCCAAUCAAAUAUCAUUUUUUUGCCACAUCACCAAUCAGCUUUCUCAAAAGAAUCGCGUCUCUUUCGAUUGUCGUCUCAUCUUUUCUCCUCAAGCAAAAAACGAUUGUCUUCUCAACUCCCAUACUUUCCUCCAUCAUUCAUAAUUAUCUUUUAAUCCAACCCAUAGAAUCUCUAACAAUAGAUUGAUUCGUCUGUUUGAUUCAAUUUCAUCACCAUCCACAACCGAGACGAGGACGAGGACGAGCAGAAAACUCGAGACUUGGUACCGUCAGAUCGACUGGAGAAUCUGUUCCACCAGUGAAACUGUUCUCAGCGAGGUUAAGCCUCACGAGGUUUGUGAGACUGAACAAGCUCUCGGGUAUUUGCCGGAGAAUUUGUUUCCUUGCAGGUAGAGGUGACGGAGAUCGGAGGAGGUGGUUAGAUCGAGAGGGAGAGAGCCGGCGAGGGUGUUGAGACGGAGGCUCAGUGUUCGGAGACGAGUUAAGUUUCCGAAAACACCGUUCGGGAUGGUGCCGGAGAGAGAGAUGCCGGGAGACGGAGGGCGGUGACUCUGUUGUUGUCGCAUUUUACGCCGGCCCAGUUGCACGGCGAGGUGUGUCUGAUGUCCCAGCAGAAUGUGCGGCCGCCGACGGAGGAACGGAGAGAGAGAAGAGCGGCUCUUUCGGCGUUGAGGUCUUGGGUUGAAGGGAGAGGGAGAGAGAGUAGGAGGGUUGUGAGGAGAACAGAGAGAAUCGUCAUGGAGGAGUUGGGGAAGACUCGCAUUGUGCGAUGAUUCAUAGAAGGAGAAGGAGAGAGAGAGAGAGAGAUAGACGGUAGAAGAAAGAGAAGGCUCUUUUGUAGACGAUGAAUUACCACAGACGGUGUUAGAGGCGCCAUGGAGAUUCGAGCUUUUAUUUGCAAGUCAGAUCACUCUAAUUCGCUUGAAGUUUUCUCCGACGAUGGUAAAUCAGCAGCUCCAUUAUUUUGAGCUAAAGGCGUGGAUCUCCAAAUGGUCGAUCGAAAGUCCACUUUGAUCCAGGGUUCAGUCAACGUGCAUAGGCUCAAUGCAUUCAGAAACCUCAUAAAAGAAGAUAUUGUUGGUGAAUGGGAAUUAAAACAGCUUACAAUGAAGAAACCCAACAAAAUUAAACGUAUUAUGGCAAUAGUAUGCAUUCAAAGGUCAUCUUUUUUUUCUGAAUGCAACCUCAGCGACACAUUUCUACUCUGACCAUCAGUGUGAGGCCAGCGCCAAAUACCUGAGGGAUAAGGGUGGUAACCAGUAACGAGAGAGCUCUUCCUCAACUCCAACAAAAUUUGGAGCGUUGAAAAAGAUAGAAUCGGUAAUUUCGGAACUGAAUGGCUUUGUCCUCAACUCCUCUCCACAGGUUAAAACCUCACUAGAACUUACUUAGAUUGAAGCAGAUUGCUGAAUUCCUAUACACCGGGGAAGUGACAAACAUUGAAACAGCUCAUUAGUGUUAUAUCUCAUGUUCCAAUUGUUGCCAUCAACUUCAGCGUGGCUUCUCAUCCUUUACAUGUGGACUAUGUAAUGGGGAAAAUGUUGCUUUGAGUGUUAAGGUUCCGACGUCUCAGAGUCUGCCAUGUUUGUGUGUUUUGAUGGUGAGAUGAACAAGCUAACAAAUGUUUCAGCUGCAGCAGUGUCGCAGGGUGGUCCAAUGGAAGAUACACAGAACAUUUCCCUCCCACAAUGCCUGUGAGAUAUUGUGGGUAUGACCUUUACAUUACCUGUGAAGGUGUCGCAGUUUAAUUUCUCUUCAAAGCAUAAGUCGUUUACAAUUGCACGGAUUUUCGAACUCGACCAACGCCUACGCCUUCCUAAUUUUGAGCAACAUGGAGGUGAUGACAACCCAGGCGAUGAUAUGGGUAGGAGUUGGAGCUCUUUCCACAUUCAAAUCAAACUGAGUUAACACUGGUGUAGCUGUCAACAAUUCUGGAAUCAUAGAAGGCUUGCAGGUUAAAGGCCUCCCAUGAGAAGGUAGUGAAGAAAAUAGUCAUGGUAAAAUUGACCUGUCUCUGGAGGAGACUGGUCUGCCUUCUGCAAAUAAGCCACGUAAACUGAGGCCAUGGCAAUGUUGUGUUGCGGCACAACUACUUUUCUAUGUUUUAUUUUAAAUUAUACCCAUCUUUGAAUAAGCACUCAUUUAAAUUCUAUCGCUACUUAUUUUUUUGUAACACAACUAUCUAUACGUUUUUGUUUUUGUUUUGUUUAUUGUUAUCUUUUAAACAGCCUUCCGCAAAUGGCAAUGAAUCUUUGUUUCCUC